UACGUAGGGUGCGAGCGUUGUCCGGAAUUAUUGGGCGUAAAGGGCUCGUAGGCGGUUUGUCGCGUCGGGAGUGAAAACACUGGGCUUAACUCAGUGCCUGCUUUCGAUACGGGCAGACUAGAGGCAUGCAGGGGAGAACGGAAUUCCUGGUGUAGCGGUGAAAUGACGCAGAUAUCAGGAGGAACACCGGUGGCGAAGGCGGGUCUCUGGGCAGUAACUGACGCUGAGGAGCGAAAGCGUGGGGAGCGAACAGG
rnacentral:rRNA from 1 species